rnacentral:rRNA from 1 species
CGUAAGCUAUCGCUUUUGGAUGGACCCGCGGCGUAUUAGCUAGUUGGUGAGGUAACGGCUCACCAAGGCAAUGAUACGUAGCCGAACUGAGAGGUUGAUCGGCCACAUUGGGACUGAGACACGGCCCAAACUCCUACGGGAGGCAGCAGUAGGGAAUCUUCCACAAUGGACGCAAGUCUGAUGGAGCAACGCCGCGUGAGUGAAGAAGGCUUUCGGGUCGUAAAACUCUGUUGUUGGAGAAGAAUGGUCGGCAGAGUAACUGUUGUCGGCGUGACGGUAUCCAACCAGAAAGCCACGGCUAACUACGUGCCAGCAGCCGCGGUAAUACGUAGGUGGCAAGCGUUAUCCGGAUUUAUUGGGCGUAAAGCGAGCGCAGGCGGUUUUUUAAGUCUGAUGUGAAAGCCCUCGGCUUAACCGAGGAAGUGCAUCGGAAACUGGGAAACUUGAGUGCAGAAGAGGACAGUGGAACUCCAUGUGUAGCGGUGAAAUGCGUAGAUAUAUGGAAGAACACCAGUGGCGAAGGCGGCUGUCUGGUCUGUAACUGACGCUGAGG